rnacentral:rRNA from 1 species
CUGUUUGCUACCCACGCUUUCGUGCCUCAGCGUCAGUUGCGGUCCAGCAGGCCGUCUGCACCACGGGUGUUCCUCCAGAUAUCUACGCAUUUCACCGCUACACCUGGAAUUCCGCCUGCCUCUCCCGCACUCCAGCGGCCCAGUUUCCGGCGCACCCUCCCGGUUAAGCCGGGAGAUUUCACACCAGACUUGGGCCACCGCCUACGCACGCUUUACGCCCAGUAACUCCGAACAACGCUCGCUGCCUACGUAUUACCGCGGCUGCUGGCACGUAGUUAGCCGCAGCUUCUUCUUCAGGUACCGUCAUUAUCGUCCCUGCCGAAAGAGCUUUACACCCCGAAGGGCUUCAUCGCUCACGCGGCGUCGCUGCAUCAGGGUUUCCCCCAUUGUACAAGAUUCCCCACUGCUGCCUCCCGUAGGAGUCUGGCCCGUGUUUCAGUGCCAGUGUGGCCGUGUGCCCUCUCAGGCCGGCUACUGAUCUCAGCCAUGGUGGGCCUUUACCCCACCAUCCAGCUAAUCAGCCGCGGGCUCCUCUCUCGGCGACUUUCGCUUUCACCUUCCG